CAGCAGCCACGGUAAUACGGAGGGAGCUAGCGUUGUUCGGAAUUACUGGGCGUAAAGCGCGCGUAGGCGGUUACUCAAGUCAGAGGUGAAAGCCCGGGGCUCAACCCCGGAACUGCCUUUGAAACUAGGUGACUAGAAUCUUGGAGAGGUCAGUGGAAUUCCGAGUGUAGAGGUGAAAUUCGUAGAUAUUCGGAAGAACACCAGUGGCGAAGGCGACUGACUGGACAAGUAUUGACGCUGAGGUGCGAAAGCGUGGGGAGCAAACAGGAUUAGAUACCCGAGUAGUCCCUGUCUCUUAUAC
rnacentral:rRNA from 1 species